rnacentral:rRNA from 1 species
UACGAAGGGGGGCUAGCGUUGCUCGGAAUCACUGGGCGUAAAAGCGCACGUAGGCGGCUUUUUAAGUCAGGGGGUGAAAUCCUGGAGCUCAACUCCAGAACUGCCUUUGAUACUGAGAAGCUCGAGUCCGGGAGAGGUGAGUGGAACUGCGAGUGUAGAGGUGAAAUUCGUAGAUAUUCGCAAGAACACCAGUGGCGAAGGCGGCUCUCUGGGCAUGUCCUGACGCUGAGGAGCGAAAAGUGUGGGGAGCGAACAGG